rnacentral:lncRNA from 7 species
AGAUUCCCUUGAGCAUGGCCACGCAGACAGAGAUGUGCAAAGCUGUGCGCCGUGCUGCUGAACACACCCCAGGAUGCCUUGGACGUUCUGGCCCUGCUGCAGAUGGCCUUCCCACAUCUUACUGAAUGCGCAUUAAAUGAGCCUGGUUACGAAGGCAGAAUUAUACAUCUGAUGCCAUCACAGUGAAUGCAUUAAAAAGCUCCAAAACUUUGCAAAACGAAAGUGCUCACUGGACAACCAUGAAAUGCAAUGAAGAUACGUGACCCAGGAAGUACUUCUGCUCUACCAGGAGUCCCUCUAUCCAGGUUGUAGAUGUGCUGCACAUGUUCCUAUUGCCUUCUGCAGCAGCCACCUGGAAUCCCCAACGUGGCGGCACAGAAUGGGAUGUUUUCUAGAUACUGCAACUCCUUGCAUCUGUCGUUAUCUUGUCACAGGACAGGAAUACCACUGACAGUAUCAGGAUAUAUAGACACAAUCUCUUAUUACUGUUUAAACACAGAAGACAAUGCCAUAUCCUGUACUGGCACUAGGACUAUUUGCUAUGCAAAAUUAAUUGUCAGGUCUUUGGAAUAUUUUCUGGUCAUUUUUGGACAAUAAAAGCACCAUUUCUUC